rnacentral:rRNA from 1 species
AUUGAACGCUGGCGGCAGGCCUAACACAUGCAAGUCGAGCGGAUGAAGGGAGCUUGCUCCUGGAUUCAGCGGCGGACGGGUGAGUAAUGCCUAGGAAUCUGCCUGGUAGUGGGGGAUAACGUCCGGAAACGGGCGCUAAUACCGCAUACGUCCUGAGGGAGAAAGUGGGGGAUCUUCGGACCUCACGCUAUCAGAUGAGCCUAGGUCGGAUUAGCUAGUUGGUGGGGUAAAGGCCUACCACGGCGACGAUCCGUAACUGGUCUGAGAGGAUGAUCAGUCACACUGGAAGUGAGACACGGUCCAGAGUCCUACGGGAGGCAGCAGUGGGGAAUAUUGGACAAUGGGCGAAAGACUGAUCCAGCCAUGCCGCGUGUGUGAAGAAGGUCUUCGGAUUGUAAAGCACUUUAAGUUGUGAGGAAGGGCAGUAAGUUAAUACCUUGCUGUUUUGACGUUACCAACAGAAUAAGCACCGGCUAACUUCGUG